GUGAGGAAUAUUGGUCAAUGGACGAGAGUCUGAACCAGCCAAGUCGCGUGAAGGAAGACGGUUCUAUGAAUUGUAAACUUCUUUUGUGCAGGAAUAAAGUGGGUUACGUGUAACCUUUUGUAUGUACUGUACGAAUAAGGAUCGACUAACUCCGUGCCAGCAGCCGCGGUAAUACGGAGGAUCCGAGCGUUAUCCGGAUUUAUUGGGUUUAAAGGGUGCGUAGGUGGAUUGAUAAGUCAGCGGUGAAAGUUUGCAGCUUAACUGUAAAAUUGCCGUUGAAACUGUCGGUCUUGAGUGCAAAUGAGGUAGGCGGAAUGUGUUGUGUAGCGGUGAAAUGCUUAGAUAUAACACAGAACUCCGAUUGCGAAGGCAGCUUACUGGGAUGCAACUGACACUGAUGCACGAAAGCGUGGGGAUCAAACAGGAUUAGAAACCCUAGUAGUCC
rnacentral:rRNA from 1 species